GUAGGUGAACCUGCGGGAGGAUCAUUAAAAAAUAAUCCAUAUGGAUUAUAAAUCCAUACCCACCUUUUGUGCACCGUAACUUGUCCAUUGUUUUCCCUUCCCGGAUUGUUUUUUGACACGAGUAGUCACUAUUUUGAAUAUGUGUUUGCGAACGUUAGAAAUGCUUGGAAGGGAGAGCGAUAUACCACACACUUUUUUAAUUUACCGAGUCUGAAGUAUAAACUUUUGCGAAAGCAGAAAUUAUAAAAACAACUUUCAACAACGGAUCUCUUGGCUCCC
rnacentral:misc_RNA from 1 species